GGCGUCCCUCCUGUGACAGUCUCCAAACGGCUCAGAGACGCAAAGACUCAGUCCUCAGGGGGGGUUCAGUGAGGAGAGAGGAGGAGGAGGAGAAAAGGAGAGGAGAAGGAGAAGAGAGGAGAGGAGAGAGGAGGAGAGUGAGAGGACGGUCUGAUGAUGAAGGGUGUCUCCUGUCUGUGGCAGAGGCUGCGGACGCCGUCCCUCAGUUUGUCAGUGCGUCUCUGAAGUUUAGAGUUCAGAGGUCAGGAGGUCAGGAGGUCAGGAGGUCGUUUAAUGACUGAGAGGUUGACGGUUCGAAAACUCCUGAAGGGAAAAUCAAUCAUUCUGACGCAUCAUUAUGAUAUUAAUGAUCAAUAAUUAUGAUCAUUUUUAUUGAUUAUUAUUUCAUUACUCACCUUGAUCAGACCAGGACUUGGCUGCUGAUUGGCUGAAAGCUCUGACAUCACACCUGUGAGACGCUGUAACGUGAACGCACCGCCAUCUAGAUUUAAAGCUCCGCCCACUUCCUGCCUGAAGGUCGGCGUGUUGAUGAGAUGGUUUAGAUUUAAACAAAGUUAAAUUUGAAUAAUCUGACCUUCAACCAGCGUGUCUGUCUUUGAUCUUACAAACACGUCUGUGAACAUGAUCAGGAUCAAUGAUCUUCAUGAUGAUCCUGCUGCAUCGACAAGAUCAUCCAUCGGGUUUUUAGGACCUCCUCUUUUACAGUGUGGAUCUGAGAUGAUGAUGUGUUCUCCUCCUCCUACUCCUCCUCCUCCUCCUCUCCUCCUCCUCUCCUCCUCCUCCUCCUC
rnacentral:lncRNA from 1 species